rnacentral:rRNA from 1 species
UGCAGCAGGCGCGAAACCUUUACACUGCACGACAGUGCGAUAAGGGAAUCCCAAGUGCGCAGGCAUAGAGCCUGCGCUUUUGUCCACCGUAGGGAGGUGGACGAAUAAGGGCUGGGCAAGACCGGUGCCAGCCGCCGCGGUAAUACCGGCAGCCCGAGUGAUGGCCGAUCUUAUUGGGCCUAAAGCGUCCGUAGCUGGCCGCACAAGUCUAUCGGAAAAUCCACCCGCUCAACGGGUGGGCGUCCGGUGGAAACCGUUUGGCUUGGGACCGGAAGGCCCGAGGGGUACGUCCGGGGUAGGAGUGAAAUCCCGUAAUCCUGGACGGACCGCCGAUGGCGAAAGCACGUCGCCAAGACGGAUCCGACACUUCGUCCGACGCGCCCCG